GCUGAAGGAGGAGCUUGCUUCUCUGGAUGAGUUGCGAACGGGUGAGUAACGCGUAGGUAACCUGCCUGGUAGCGGGGGAUAACUAUUGGAAACGAUAGCUAAUACCGCAUAACAUUGACUAUUGCAUGAUAGUCAGUUAAAAGGUGCAAUUGCAUCACUACCAGAUGGACCUGCGUUGUAUUAGCUAGUUGGUGGGGUAACGGCUCACCAAGGCGACGAUACAUAGCCGACCUGAGAGGGUGAUCGGCCACACUGGGACUGAGACACGGCCCAGACUCCUACGGGAGGCAGCAGUAGGGAAUCUUCGGCAAUGGACGGAAGUCUGACCGAGCAACGCCGCGUGAGUGAAGAAGGUUUUCGGAUCGUAAAGCUCUGUUGUAAGAGAAGAACGAGUGUGAGAGUGGAAAGUUCACACUGUGACGGUAUCUUACCAGAAAGGGACGGCUAACUACGUGCCAGCAGCCGCGGUAAUACGUAGGUCCCGAGCGUUGUCCGGAUUUAUUGGGCGUAAAGCGAGCGCAGGCGGUUAGAUAAGUCUGAAGUUAACGGCUGUGGCUUAACCAUAGUACGCUUUGGAAACUGUUUAACUUGAGUGCAAGAGGGGAGAGUGGAAUUCCAUGUGUAGCGGUGAAAUGCGUAGAUAUAUGGAGGAACACCGGUGGCGAAAGCGGCUCUCUGGCUUGUAACUGACGCUGAGGCUCGAAAGCGUGGGGAGCAAACAGGAUUAG
rnacentral:rRNA from 1 species